CAGCCGCCGCGGGAAUACGAAGGGGGCUAGCGUUGCUCGGAAUGACUGGGCGUAAAGGGCGCGUAGGCGGAUUGUUUAGUUAGGCGUGAAAUUCCUGGGCUUAACCUGGGGACUGCGCUUAAUACAGGCAGUCUAGAGUGAGGAAGAGUGUUGUGGAAUUCCCAGUGUAGAGGUGAAAUUCGUAGAUAUUGGGAAGAACACCGGUGGCGAAGGCGGCAACCUGGUCCUUGACUGACGCUGAGGCGCGAAAGCGUGGGGAGCAAACAGGAUUAGAUACCCGCGUAGUCCCUGUCUCUUAUAA
rnacentral:rRNA from 1 species